GCACGGAAACGGCCCAGGGGCUGAGCAGAAGUCAGAUCCCGGGAUGGAGGGAGCCGAAGAAGAGUGAGGAGGCCGUGAAGGCAGGCUCUGCUGCCCUCCUGGAGGCCGGCAGCCUGCUGAGGCAGUGGAGGACCAGGCCACCCAUAAAGGGAAGGGGUCAGGAGGUCGGGGCCCCGGCCUUAUAGGGCUCAGACCAGGCCCCAGCAGGAAGCAGCAGGCGUUCAGGGCCCAGGCCUGGCUCGGUUGUCCAAAGGGGGGCCUCAAGCAGGCCUCUCAGGCCUCUGGAGGGCAAACUGAGCCAGAGGCAAGCCUGAAAGCACGGCCCAGACGCGUGUGAGCCAAGUCAGACAUAGAAGGCUCGGGCCCUAGGGGGUGUCAGAGACUGAUGUGGUAGGGGGCUUUCGAGUCUUCCAGUCCAAAGCCGGAUUGGCCAGUUAGACGCUUGUAGAUCCAAGGUUGGAUUGGGGAGGGGUCUCUGGGAAGUUGGCUAGCAACGCAAGGAUUGGGGGGAUUUGAGUGCUUAGAGAUCGGAGGCAGGCCCUGGGUAGGGGGAGUCAGACAAUUGGAAAGCCGAGGUGUCAUCUGGGGAGGGGUCUUUGCGCUUGGAGGAAGCACAGAGCAGCACCUGCUUGGCUGCAGGCCUGCGAAGGGGACCAGACCAGGCCAAGAGAAAGAAAGUGAAUAAACCUGGACUCUUAAGUGGGCGGGGGGCCCCUGAGCUGGGGGUCACAAAGGGUGAGACAUGGCCACGAGGCGUUUAACCGACGCUUUCUUGUUGUUGCGGAAUAAUUCCAUCCAAAACCGGCAGCUGUUAGCCGAGCAAACUCUCAGCAAAAUGCAGCUGUUGCCAUUUCCCAUUCAUUCUGCUUUGGCCUCAGUUUCAGAUGCCCCAUCACGGUUGUGCCUCAGGGCAGCAUGAAAUACAGGGAAGAGCACUGGACUCCAAACCUGGGGAUUUAGGGCCAAGUCACACUCUGGCUGGCUCAGAAUGCAGGAGCUGGAUGAGCUCGCUGAUGAUCGCAUGGCUCUGGUGUCAGGCAUUAGCUUGGACCCAGAAGCCGCAAUUGGUGUGACAAAGCGGUCCCCUCCUAAAUGGGUGGAUGGAGUGGAUGAAAUACAGUAUGAUGUUGGGCGGAUUAAACAGAAGAUGAAGGAGUUAGCCAGCCUUCAUGACCAGCACUUAAACCGACCUACCCUGGAUGACAGCAGCGAGCAGGAGCAUGCCAUUGAGAUAACCACACAGGAGAUCACCCAGCUCUUCCAUAGGUGUCAGCGUGCGGUGCAGGCGCUGCCCAGCCGGGCCCGCCGGGCCUGCUCGGAGCAGGAGGAGCGGCUCCUCCGAAACGUGGUGGCCUCGCUGGCCCAGGCCCUGCAGGAGCUGUCCACCAGCUUCCGGCACGCACAGUCCAGCUACCUCCGACGCAUGAAGAAUCGAGAGGAAAGAUCCCAGCAUUUUUUUGCUACAUCAGUACCGCUGAUGGACGAUGGCGAGGAUAAUACUCUGUAUGACCGGGGCUUUACAGAUGAGCAGCUAGUGCUGGUGGAGCAGAACACGCUGCUGGUGGAGGAGCGGGAGCGGGAGAUUCGCCAGAUCGUGCAGUCCAUCUCCGACCUGAACGAGAUAUUUAGGGACCUGGGAGCCAUGAUCGUAGAACAGCGCAUUUCUGUUCAGAGCCCCAUCCUGCCAUGGAGCCUGGUGUUCUCUUCUUCCUGUUUGAACCCAGCAAUUAAAAAAUUACAAGCAAAACUCUCCUGGAGGCGAACGUGUGAUUUUACAUGGUGUGUUGGAGCUAGCCGUGUUUGCUCUGACCCAUGGAGGCGUGUGGAGAUGCUCAGACAUGAUAGGUACCGUCCUCGAUAGAAUCGACUAUAAUGUUGAGCAGUCCUGUAUCAAAACUGAAGACGGCUUGAAACAGCUCCACAAGGCAGAGCAGUAUCAGAAGAAGAACCGGAAGAUGCUCGUGAUCCUGAUAUUGCUCGUCAUCAUCAUCGUCCUCACUGUUGUCCUCGUCGGCGUGAAGUCUCGCUGAGCGGCAUCGGUCUGGUGUGUGCGGUGCGUGGACCCGGGCAUGAGGCCCGGCACCCAGGGGCUCUGGCAGAGGUGCGGCCCCGGCCUAGCCGGGGUGGUGGCGGUCCCAUGGACUCCUCGGCCCGGUCAUGCUCACACGAGGGGAAGGGGCAUCUGUUUUCCUUCAUUGUCAAGACGUGAAGGACCUUGGAUACUGCUGCGGAAUAGAGAUGAGUUCUCGCUUUGGUGGUUUUUUUUUGUUUUUUUUUUUUCCAGAAAGAAAAUAUCAGUUGAACGUUUACAGGCCUCGUCACGCUGUUGAUGUAUCAUACCUGUAUAUGCUCUUUUUUUUUUAAGCAAUCAUGUUUGAGCAGCAUGUUAAAAGAAUUUUUGGAAAAAAUUUUUUUAAACCAUCUGGUUUUCAAGAAAUUUGGUACCAGAAAUUUAUGGGUAGAGGCAAAAUUGCCUCUUCAUCUUUGUCUAUGUAUUUUCCAGUUGAAAACAAACUGAGAAGUCCUUUAAGAAUUUAUAAUCCGUUCCCCAUUAACUUAAUUUAACUUUUCCAUCACUGUUAAUGAUCAGAGUAACAAAGUGUGAAAAAUAAGAAACUAUCAUUGAUGUUAAUUAACACAUUUAGAUGGGCCAGUUAAAACAGCUUCAUAAGUUUAAAUUAAUUGUAAAUGGAGUAUUCCUCAUCUCAGAUUUGUGCACUGCAUUUUCUCCUGUAAACCGAAAGGGGUUACUAAGCAGAACCAGCCAAAUGCAAGAGUUGAUGAUUUGAAAGAACCUCACAUUAAAAGGGCGCUCGGCAGUGUCGGAAAAGUCACCAGAGCUGGCCGGUAUGUCCCCGUGCCCGUCCCCAGCCAUCCUUGCUCAAUCCAUUACUUAUAUAAUAACUACAUAAAGACCUGUUCAAGCCAGACACCAUUUAAUGGACUGUGAAUUUACAUGGAGGCCAUUCUAAAUGGGUCACCCCAUUUAGGAUUAGUGGGUCUCAAAUUAUUAACCAAACAUGACUCCAUUUCAAAGUAAAAUAUUCCCCCAGUGGUUUGAUUUAUUGGCCCUUCCAUUGCCAUUGAACAUGCCCAGAAGGUAGGCAUAUUCCUGCCGUUUGUGAAAAUCUUGGCUCAGAAAACCCCUCAUUUGUGUGAGCAUGAACCGGGUCUCCAAAGCAGGACUUUGUUGUUCACUUACCUAUUACAAUAUGGUGCUCAAACAUAUUCCUGGACCUGUGGAGUAGUGUGGAAAGUGAUGAUAACUUUGAAACCUGAAGUUGUUCGUGUUUUAACGGGUCUUGAGACACCAGUAUAGUUUUAAUGGUCUUUGUGUCAUUUUUGAUGGCUUUCCAUUGUUUUUACCUCUUGUAAAAUGUUUUAAAAGAGCAUGACCUCAUUAAGUGUGCUACGUUUUAUUUGGACCAGUCACAUAACCUGUCUCUCUAGAAUUGACUUUGAAGUUAUUUCCAGAAAUUUAAACUCAAACCCCGAGAUUCAAGUUGUCCAAACAGGUCAUGUGCUUAAAACCCAGACCACUGCCCAGCCUUCCCAUCCCAAGCGGUUCAUGAAGCCGGGCAGUCCCUGGUUCCCUGUUCCUGACGUGGGCGUGGGGUGAUCUAAAGGCAUCCCUGGCAUAUCGGGAAGUAGCAUGGCAUUCCCUGACAGCUACUUACUAAGGAGGAAGGCCGGGAAUGAGGUCCAGCCCCUCCUCAAUUGCCCCUGAGAUGGGGGGCUUUCUUGGUUCCUGAGAGCAGCUGUGGGCUCUUUAGCCUCAGUGGUUUUGAGCUCAGGGAGUCAAGCUGCUCCCAGGAUGGGGGCUGUCCAGAUGAGGGGCUCCCCUCCUAGACAGCCUGGGAUGGUGUUAAGGGUUAUUGUGGGUGGGAGCUUUUCCAGUGCUUAGGCUCACUGACUCUUGAAGGAACGUAAUCCUUUAAGAAAGGAUCACUAUUUAUUUGUAUUUAUUUUUAGUGAACAGGGUAAUUAGUUGGAUUUUUUACCCAAUUCCUUUGGGUAAAAUAAUGAAUCUGACUAGGGAUGGCUUGAAGGAUCCUGUUUGGGAUCCGGACAGCUGCCCCCCUCUGACUGGAUACCCAGCAGCACCAGCUGAAGCCCAGCCAUCCGCUGCCAUCACCGUGUCCCCAGGCCAGCAGCAGCUGGAGCACGUGUUCCAACUUGCCAGGCUCCACCAAACACUCCUGUUCUGUUGCCGCCUCUUGGGGACAGAUCAACAGCAGGCGGGCUGGAAGGGGAGGUUAGUGAUUAGUGUCCUGGCACCCAAGGGUCCUCCUCUCUCUCCUUGUCUCGCCUAUGGCUCUGGUGGCAAAGGUGGCUCUUCCUGGCUCGGCCCUCGCUGCUGCCCGCUGUGACGUGGCCUGCGCGGCUCUGUUGACUGGGGCUGGAAGGGGACCCAUCUUUCCCAAGAUGGGGACUGAGCACUGCUGUCUCUUGUUUUAUUAAUUUGGGGUGGGGGAGGUGCUGACUUGCUGGCCCUGGGUGUGAAGCUGCGUUCAUCUCGAACGAAUUUACCACAGUCUCUGCUAAUUGAGAGAGCAUUAUUUAUUUGUUUUGACACAAGUGCUUUCAGUGUUUUAUCCUAGCUAAUGGCUUCUUAAAGGUAAUAAAAACCUUCCAACCUAAUUGGUCAGAUAAGACUUUUGUGUGUGUGUGCUUAAAUAAAGCAAUUAGUGAAGCGCUUCUAUCCAAAACAACUUUUUUUUUGUCCUUUUUAGAAAACUAAUUUACUGUUACUGGAAACUUUUUGUACAAUAAAGCAAUCAUCAGAUUCAAGAACA